rnacentral:snRNA from 1 species
UGGCUUCCACAUCUAUUGCCACC